GACCGCGUAGCUCAGUUGGCAGAGUAUUGGGCUAGUAUUCCAAAGGUCGUAGGUUCGAUUCCCACCGUGGUCA
rnacentral:tRNA from 1 species